UACGUAGGGUGCAAGCGUUAAUCGGAAUUACUGGGCGUAAAGCGUGCGCAGGCGGUCCGUUAAGACAGAAUGUGAAAUCCCCGGGCUUAACCUGGGAACUGCAUUUGUGACUGGCGGACUCGAGUAUGGCAGAGGGGGGUAGAAUUCCACGUGUAGCAGUGAAAUGCGUAGAGAUGUGGAGGAAUACCGAUGGCGAAGGCAGCCCCCUGGGCCAAUACUGACGCUCAUG
rnacentral:rRNA from 1 species